AUUUAGAGGAAGGAGAAGUCGUAACAAGGUUUCCGUAGGUGAACCUGCGGAAGGAUCAUUGUCGAUGCCUGCCCAGCAGAACGACCCGCGAACCGGUUUAUCAAUGCGGCGGCGAGCGYCCCGGCGUAACCCGCCACGGACGUGGGGGGCCUCGACCCCCUGCGUCCACGAACUAUAACCCCGGCGCAGGUAGCGCCAAGCAAUACAAAACAAAUUCGGGAUGGGGCGAUCCCCGUGCCGUUUGACCAACAAAACGACUCUCGGCAACGGAUAUCUCGGCUCUCGCAUCGAUGAAGAACGUAGCGAAAUGCGAUACUUGGUGUGAAUUGCAGAAUCCCGUGAACCAUCGAGUUUUUGAACGCAAGUUGCGCCCGAAGCCUUCGGGCCGAGGGCACGUCUGCCUGGGUGUCACACAACGUCGCCCCCCACCCCCGUCUACCCCAAAGUGGGCGUGGGGCGAAGGAGGGGGCGGAGUAUGGCCUCCCGUCGGCCUUGACAGCGGUUGGCCGAAAUGCUUGUCCCCGGCGUACGGUGCCGCGACGAUCGGUGGUUGAACAGGCCUUUAUGAUUCGUCACGUGCCUCGUCGAUCGGGAUUACUAAGACCCUUGCGCGUCCACGGACGCCUACUGACGCGACCCCAGGUCAGGCGGGACCACCCGCUGAGUUUA
rnacentral:rRNA from 1 species